rnacentral:tRNA from 1 species
GGGGCGUUGGUGAAAGUGGAAUCAUGUAGGACUCCAGAUCCUGAGGUGCGGGUUCAAUUCCUGCACGCCCCA